rfam:Myotis davidii contig203492, whole genome shotgun sequence.
UGCGGUUCUUGGGUGAUGCACCCGGAACCAGAGAGGAGGGAGCCUGAUUCUGGGGUGCGUCACCCGAGAACCGCC